rnacentral:rRNA from 1 species
UGAGUACGAGAUGCUACGGCAUCGAAGCAGUCUAUGUCAUACUUCCAAGAAAAGCUUGCAAUGUCAUAAACAAAUAAUGCCUGUACCAUAACCGACACAGGUGGGUAGGUAGAGUAUACUAAGGGGCGCGAGAUAACUCUCUCUAAGGAACUCGGCAAAAUGACUCCGUAACUUCGGGAGAAGGAGUGCCUUAUUUUUAUAAGGUUGCAAUAACAAGAUCCAAGCAACUGUUUACCAAAAACACAGGUCUCCGCUAAGUCGUAAGACGAUGUAUGGGGGCUGACGCCUGCCCAGUGCCAGAAGGUUAAAGAAGUUGGUUAGCAUUAGCGAAGCUGAUAACUGAAGCCCUGGUGAACGGCGGCCGUAACGAUAACGGUCCUAAGGUAGCGAAAUUCCUUGUCGGGUAAGUUCCGACCCGCACGAAAGGCGUAAUGAUUUGGAUACUGUCUCGGAGAGGGGCUCGGUGAAAUAGACUUGUCUGUGAAGAUGCGGACUACCUGCACCUGGACAGAAAGACCCUAUGAAGCUUUACUGUAACUUGAGAUUGAAAUUGGACUUUAUCUGCGCAGUAUAGGUGGGAGACGUUGAAAAUAUUCUUGCGGGAAUAUUGGAGUCAUCAGUGAGAUACCACUCUUAUAAUGUUAGAUUUCUAACUUUGUAUCAUUAUCUGGUCAAAGAACAGUUUCAGGCGGGCAGUUUGACUGGGGCGGUCGCCUCCCAAACGGUAACGGAGGCGCACAAAGGUUUCCUCUGAACGUGUAGAAAUCGUAUCUAGAGUGUAAAGGCAUAAGGAAGCUUGACUGUGAGACCUACAAGUCGAGCAGGGACGAAAGUCGGUCUUAGUGAUCUGACGGUGCUGAGUGGAAAGGCCGUCACUCAACGGAUAAAAGUUACUCUAGGAUAACAGGCUGAUCUCCCCCAAGAGUUCACAUCGACGGGGAGGUUUGGCACCUCGAUGUCGGCUCAUCGCAUCCUGGGGCGGUAGUACGUCCCAAGGGUUGGGCUGUUCGCCCAUGAAAGCGGUACGCGAGCUGGGUUCAGAACGUCGUGAGACAGUUCGGUCCAUAUCCGGUGUAGGCGUUAGAAUAUUGAGAGGAGCCUUCUUUAGUACGAGAGGACCGAGAAGGACAUACCUCUGGUGUACCAGUUAUCGUGCCAACGGUAAACGCUGGGUAGCCAUGUAUGGAGAGGAUAACCGCUGAAAGCAUCUAAGUGGGAAGCCCACCUCAAGAUAAGUAUUCC